rnacentral:rRNA from 1 species
CAGCAGCCGCGGUAAUACGAAGGGGGCUAGCGUUGUUCGGAUUUACUGGGCGUAAAGGGCGCGUAGGCGGACUGAUAAGUCAGGGGUGAAAUCCCAAGGCUCAACCUUGGAACUGCCUUUGAUACUGUUUGUCUUGAGUUCGAGAGAGGUAAGUGGAACUGCGAGUGUAGAGGUGAAAUUCGUAGAUAUUCGCAAGGACACCAGUGGCGAAGGCGGCUUACUGGCUCGAAACUGACGCUGAGGCGCGAAAGCGUGGGGAGCAAACAGGAUUAGAGACCCCCGUAGUCCCUGUCUCUUAUAC